rnacentral:pre_miRNA from 1 species
UCUUAUGGAUGAACAAAAAUAGUGGUUUCCUGAGAUGGAAUCUACUCCUGGUGUGGAUGCUGGAAA